AACGAACGCUGGCGGCACGCCUAACACAUGCAAGUCGAACGCUCGGGGGCAACCCCGGGAGUGGCGGACGGGUGAGUAACGCGUGGGAACCUGCCCUAUGGUGCGGGACAACUCCGGGAAACCGGGGCUAAUACCGCAUGUUCCGGGUCGCGAGAUCCGGCAAAGAUUUAUCGCCAUGGGAGGGGCCCGCGCCCGAUUAGCUUGUUGGUAGGGUAACGGCCUACCAAGGCUUUGAUCGGUAGCCGGUCUGAGAGGANGGCCGGCCACACUGGAACUGAGACACGGUCCAGACUCCUACGGGAGGGCAGCAGUGGGGAAUCUUGCGCAAUGGGCGAAAGCCUGACGCAGCGACGCCGCGUGGGGGAUGAAGCUUCUCGGAGUGUUAAACCCCUUUCG
rnacentral:rRNA from 1 species